GACGAACCGUGCGAACGUUGUUCGGAAUCACUGGGCAUAAAGGGCGCGUAGGCGGGCCGCAAAGUCAAGGGUGAAAUCCCCCAGCUCAACUGGGGAACUGCCUUUGAUACUGGCGGUCUUGAGUAAGGUAGGGGCGUGCGGAACUGAUGGUGGAGCGGUGAAAUGUGUUGAUAUCGGUGGGAACGCCAGUGGCGAAAGCGGCAGACUUGACCCUUCCUGACGCUGAGGCGCGAAAGCUAGGGGAGCAAACGGG
rnacentral:rRNA from 1 species